rnacentral:rRNA from 1 species
GACGAACGCUGGCGGCGUGCUUAACACAUGCAAGUCGAACGGAAAGGCCUCUUUCGGGGGGUACUCGAGUGGCGAACGGGUGAGUAACACGUGAGUAACCUGCCCUUGACUUUGGGAUAACUUCAGGAAACUGGGGCUAAUACCGGAUAGGAGCUCCUGCUGCAUGGGGGGGGUUGGAAAGUUUCGGCGGUUGGGGAUGGACUCGCGGCUUAUCAGCUUGUUGGUGGGGUAGUGGCUUACCAAGGCUUUGACGGGUAGCCGGCCUGAGAGGGUGACCGGCCACAUUGGGACUGAGAUACGGCCCAGACUCCUACGGGAGGCAGCAGUGGGGAAUAUUGCACAAUGGGUGGAAGCCUGAUGCAGCAACGCCGUGUGCGGGAUGACGGCCUUCGGGUUGUAAACCGCUUUCGCUCAUGACGAAGCUUUGUGUGACGGUAGUGGGUAAAGAAGCACCGGCUAACUACGUG